rnacentral:rRNA from 1 species
AUUGAACGCUGGCGGAACGCUUUACACAUGCAAGUCGAGCGGCAGCGCGGGGCAACCUGGCGGCGAGCGGCGAACGGGUGAGUAAUACAUCGGAACGUACCCAGUUGUGGGGGAUAGUCCGGCGAAAGCCGGAUUAAUACCGCAUACGACCUGAGGGUGAAAGGGGGGGAUCGCAAGACCUCUCGCAGUUGGAGCGGCCGAUGGCGGAUUAGCUAGUUGGUGGGGUAAAGGCCUACCAAGGCGACGAUCCGUAGCGGGUCUGAGAGGACGACCAGCAACACUGGAACUGAGACACGGUCCAGACUCCUACGGGAGGCAGCAGUGGGGAAUUUUGGACAAUGGGGGAAACCCUGAUCCAGCCAUUCCGCGUGAGUGAAGAAGGCCUUCGGGUUGUAAAGCUCUUUCGGCAGGAACGAAACGGUGGCCCCUAAUACGGGUUGCUAAUGACGGUACCUGAAGAAGAAGCACCGGCUAACUACGUGCCAGCCGCCGCCGUAA